rnacentral:rRNA from 1 species
AAUAUUGGGCAAUGGCCGAGAGGCUGACCCAGCCAUGCCGCGUGCAGGAAGAAGGCCUUCUGGGUUGUAAAGCUCUUUUGGCGGGGACGAUAAUGACGGUACCCGCAGAAUAAGCCCCGGCUAACUUCGUGCCAGCAGCCGCGGUAAUACGAAGGGGGCUAGCGUUGUUCGGAAUCACUGGGCGUAAAGCGCACGUAGGCGGACUUUCAAGUCAGGGGUGAAAUCCCGGGGCUCAACCUCGGAACUGCCUUUGAUACUGUUGGUCUCGAGUCCGAUAGAGGUGGGUGGAAUUCCUAGUGUAGAGGUGAAAUUCGUAGAUAUUAGGAAGAACACCGGUGGCGAAGGCGGCCCACUGGAUCGGUACUGACGCUGAGGUGCGAAAGCGUGGGGAGCAAA